UGUGGGAGCUGGCUUGCCAGCGAUGACGGCCUCACAUGCAACAUGGAUGUUGUCUGUGGCACCGCAAUCGCUGGCAAGCCAGCUCCCACA
rnacentral:misc_RNA from 1 species